AUUUCACUUAGCAUAAUGUUCUCCAGGUCCAUCCAUGCUGCUGCAAAGGAACAAGGAAUUAGGACAGAUCACCGGCAGAUACGGAACUCUGUGGGAUUCCCAGAUGUUGCUCAAAUCGAUCCAUUUCUCCUACGUCCCCUCUCCGAGUCCAGGCCUCCUCGCGUCUUGCCUACGUGCUGUUCUCGCUGCGUUUGCGCUCAGGUCUCAUGGUGGCCAUUGCCCCCGGGUCACCGAUAGCCAGGCCCCCUCUGCUCCGGGCACCGGGGAGGCUCGCCUUCCCCACACCUGGGAGACGUGCCCGGCCGCCUGGAAGCACUUGAGCGGCUGUUCUCUGCCCUGUCCACGGGACCACCAACCUUCCCAACGGCAGGGCCGGGCUGGGGGAGUGAGGACAAUGCGCCCUCGGAGCCCGUGACAAAUGUCAGCGAGUGAGGAAUAAACCUUGUUUGUUUUGA